GUAGGUGGCAAGCGUUGUCCGGAAUUAUUGGGCGUAAAGCGCGCGCAGGCGGGUCCUUUAAGUCUGAUGUGAAAGCCCACGGGCUCAACCGUGGAGGGUCAUUGGAAACUGGGGGACUUGAGUACAGAAGAGGAAAGCGGAAUUCCAGGUGUAGCGGUGAAAUGCGUAGAGAUUUGGAGGAACACCAGUGGCGAAGGCGGCUUUCUGGUCUGUAACUGACGCUGAGGCGCGAAAGCGUGGGGAGCAAACAGGAUUAGAUACCCUGGUAGUCCACGCCGUAAACGAUGAGUGCUAAGUGUUAGGGGGUUUCCGCCCCUUAGUGCUGCAGCUAACGCAUUAAGCACUCCGCCUGGGGAGUACGGCCGCAAAGGCUG
rnacentral:rRNA from 1 species